UGAUUAAUGUGAAAUUAUUAUUGUAAUUUUAGAAGUCAUUUGUAUGCAUUUCUACUUUGAUUUAUUUGUUUAAUAACUUAAUUUAAUAUUGUAACGAUCCUAAUGCGUGUACUCCCUCGACCAAUAGGAAUGCAGUAUGACAAUAUCUUGAUGCAAUGUGCAUUGGCGGGAAAUCGAGUUGACGUAAGCGUAUUUGGAUCGGUAAAGAGGCAGAUUCCUUUUUGGUAUUAGCGAGUGAACGAUAGCCAUUGUUAAGUAGUGGAAACUCUGUCCAUUUUCUGUCGUAUAUUUUGAGACAUUUAAAGUUUUAGUUUAAAGUGAAAUUUAAGCAAUCACCGAUUUAGUGUUUUAGAUUAUUUUUAUUAUUUUUAUUAUUUUGUUUUUUUUUUUUUUUUUUUUUUUUUUUUCUUUGUUUUUUUUUUUUUUUUUUUUUUUUUUUUAUUCUA
rnacentral:misc_RNA from 1 species